rnacentral:rRNA from 1 species
UAACGAAUAUUGGGCAAUGGGCGAAAGCCUGACCCAGCAAUGCCGCGUGCAGGACGAAGUCCUUCGGGAUGUAAACUGCUGUCAGGGGUCCGCAAGCGAAGGGGUCCAACAGGCCCUGGAGUUGAGCAGCCCCAGAGGAAGCCUCGACUAACUCUGUGCCAGCAGUUGCGGUAAGACAGAGGAGGCAAUCGUUGUUCGGAAUCACUGGGCUUAAAGCGCCCGUAGGCGGCUUAGACAGUGUCGUGUGAAAUCCCGCAGCUCAACCGCGGAACUGCACGGCAAACUACUUGGCUUGAGGUCGGUAGAGGUGCCUGGAACUCUAGGUGGAGCGGUGAAAUGCGUAGAUAUCUAGAGGAACGCCAGAAGCGAAAGCGGGGCACUGGGCCGAUUCUGACGCUGAGACGCGAAAGCGUGGAAAGCAAACA